rnacentral:sRNA from 1 species
GCCAGGCAUGGUGGCACAUGCCUGUAAUCCCAGCAGCUCGGGAGGCUGAAGCAGGGGGAUCACAAGUUCAAAGCCAGCCUCAGCAAAAGCAAGGUGCUAAGCAACUCAGUGAGACCCUGUCUCUA